UACGUAGGGGGCAAGCGUUGUCCGGAAUCAUUGGGCGUAAAGCGCGCGUAGGCGGCCCGGUAAGUCCGCUGUAAAAGUCCAGGGCUCAACCCUGGAAAGCCGGUGGAUACUGUCGGGCUAGAGUCCGGAAGAGGUGAGUGGAAUUCCGAGUGUAGAGGUGAAAUUCGUAGAUAUUCGGAGGAACACCAGUGGCGAAGGCGGCUCACUGGUCCGGUACUGACGCUGAGGUGCGAAAGCGUGGGGAGCAAACGGG
rnacentral:rRNA from 1 species